rnacentral:rRNA from 1 species
UACAGAGGUCUCAAGCGUUGUUCGGAUUCAUUGGGCGUAAAGGGUGUGUAGGUGGCGCGUAAGUCGGGUGUGAAAUUCGAUGGCUUAACUCCGAAACUGCAUUCGAUACUGGCGUGCUUGAGGACUGGAGAGGAGACUGGAAUUUAUGGUGUAGCAGGUGAAAUGCGUAGAGAUCAUGAGGAAGACCAGUGGCGAAGGCGGGUCUCUGGACAGUUCCUGACACUGAGACGAAGGCCAGGGGAGCAAACGGG